UACAGAGGGGGCAAGCGUUGUUCGGAAUUACUGGGCGUAAAGGGCGCGUAGGCGGCCAACUAAGUCAGACGUGAAAUUCCUCAGCUUAACUGGGGAACUGCGUCUGAUACUGGAUGGCUUGGAUUCGGGAGAGGAAUGCGGAAUUCCAGGUGUAGCGGUGAAAUGCGUAGAUAUCUGGAGGAACACCGGUGGCGAAGGCGGCAUUCUGGACCGAUAUUGACGCUGAGGAGCGAAAGCCAGGGGAGCAAACGGG
rnacentral:rRNA from 1 species